rnacentral:rRNA from 1 species
UGGGGAAUAUUGCACAAUGGGGGAAACCCUGAUGCAGCGACGCCGCGUGAGCGAAGAAGUAUUUCGGUAUGUAAAGCUCUAUCAGCAGGGAAGAAAAAAUGACGGUACCUGAGUAAGAAGCACCGGCUAAAUACGUGCC